rnacentral:sRNA from 1 species
UAAUCAAAACUCAUUUUCUUAUGAGUAUUAUUUUCAACAUGUAAUAAAAGUAUAUGAGAGAUUAAAUUUAAAUAUAUUUAUAUAAAUUAUUAAUAAUAAAUGUUAGUUUUAGUUAAAUAUUUAAUAUUCCAUAAAAAAAAAAAAUUGAAAAUGUAUCUUUCCUCUUCAAUGUUAUAAUGUCCAUACUACUAUAAAUAUACAUUAGAGUAGAUUAGAGAAAAUACCGUUUAAUUCAACAAAACCAUAAUCAUCAUAACAUUUACACCCAAAAAACCUAUAGUUGGUAUUGGGGAGAAUGUGGUUGCUAGAGCGACGAUUGUGGUUAUUGGAGCGGCGAUUGUGGCUGUGGUAAAUAAUGCAGUUGCUGCUGGUGCUGAGAUUAUCGUUGUGGCUAUUGAUGACAACCAUGUUGCUGGAGUAGAUGUUGUGGAUGGAGGUAUAGAGAAUGCUGCUAAUGUGGAACAAAAAAA